CCUACGGGAGGCAGCAGUAGGGAAUAUUGCUCAAUGGGGGAAACCCUGAAGCAGCAACGCCGCGUGGAGGAUGAAGGUUUUCGGAUUUUAAACUCCUUUUGUUAGAGAAGAUAAUGACGGUAUCUUACGAAUAAGCACCGGCUACCUCCGUGCCAGCAGCCGCGGGAAUACGGAGGUGGCAAGCGUUACUAGGAAUCACUGGGCGUAAGGAGCGAGUAGGCGGGAUAGCAAGUCAGAUGUUAAAUCCUAGGGCUUAACCAUAGAACUGCAUUUGAAACUGUUAUUCUAGAGUAUGGGAGAGGUAGGUGGAAUGCGUGGUGUAGGGGUAAAAUCCGUAGAGAUCAAGAGGAAUACUCAUUGCGAAGGCGACCUGCUAGAACAUAACUGACGCUGAUGCGCGAAAGCGUGGGGAGCAAACAGGAUUAGAUACCCUUGUAGUC
rnacentral:rRNA from 1 species